rnacentral:lncRNA from 1 species
AAUCGGCAUAGCCUAAAACCCAAAGUUUGCCCCUUCGUUGUCCUAACACUGUUAAACAUCCUUAAACUACGAGGGGGUUGGUUUACAACAGGAGCACUGGGACCCACAGCAUAUUCUCCUGCACUCUCGCAUAACACAAGAGAUUUCCGUCAAGAAUUUAAAGGCUAAAGAUGUGCUCAAACAGUUGAUUUGGACCUGAGGUUUAGGGAGGGAGGGAAGUGUAAAUAAUUUUCUGGAUUGUACCAAGAUCUCUGCUGCAUCCACACAGUAGCCACUGCCGGUUUUCUCAUCAAGAAAAGUGAACCUUGUGACUCAUACGGAAGACAGAGCAAACAGAAAGCAUAAAGACUCACAGAAUUUGUUUGAGAACAGUAGUUCAAACUCUUUUUCAUUAGGAAAGGGACUACUAGUUAAUACUUUGAAAUGUCCCAUACUUUGUUCCCUCUUUUUCCAGAAAUUGAGAUGUGCCUCCCAAUGCUCAAGAUUUGAUAAUAGAAUUACCCUUAAGCCAGUAUUUAAUAUAAUCUACACAAUUAAAACAAACCACGGCUAAUUGGAACCUCUGCCCGGGAUCUAUCCCCAAUGAUAUUCCAGUCGUGGUUUUUCCAGAAUUCUGGAGGAUUUUUUUCCUAUUUCCUUUUCCUUUUAACCCACCACACCUACACCCCCACCCCAACCCAUAACCCCACAUCCGAACCACCACCAACUUCUUGGUAUCUGAUCUAUCACAGCCAAAUUUUCUGGACCCAGAUCCCAACAUUUUGAUGCUUAACUUAAUCUUGCACCCACAAUUAAAAUUAUUAGCCCUUUUCUACCUUCCCUCUGCCCACAGUACAACACAGAGCCCUAGCCAGAGCCUCCAGAGGUCUGUUUGCUAACUCAGUAUUUCGCACACCCAAGGACACAUGCAAAGAGUUCUUCAUAAUGUGAACUUUCUAAUUGUUCAGUUCCAGAAGCAUUUCCUGCAGUUUGAACGUGACUUUGCCUCUCGGAUUUUCAACUUGAAGCUUUAGUUUGCACUGAAUUAUUUCAUCUGGUUUUAAAAUGUCUCAAAUGGACUGAUUUGGAAACAAAAUGUGGUAUAUUUUAAAUAUUGAUGGAGGUACUUUCUGUAAACCUGAAAUGUUAGAGCUCCGAGGAAGACUUUCCGGAAAAAGACAGCAAUAGAAAGAAAGUUUUCUUCUCAGUUCCUAUUUUUAUUGUUUUUGAAAUGCAUUUUUUAAAAACUUGUCUAAUGUGGCAAAAUAGCUAUGUGAUCAAUUAAUUUAUAUUUUAUUCAUUCUUUUUCAAUUCUGGAUAUGUAACCUCAAGUACUUUAUCUGUUCUUUUAAGGUAUUUUAUAAAAUGAAUGUUGAC